AGUCGUAACAAGGUUUCCGCUCUAAGUCACGAAUAUCCUUUCGUACGUACACUUUAGAAGCCUUAGUAGCCCAUAGAUGGGAGGCCACACGACACCAAAAAAAGUGGCCGCUUGCUAGUCAACAAUGUUGGCAACAUAACCGAACUGAAGGGAAACCCUAUACUGAAGCUAUCGCUAGAGAAAUCUGUAUGGCAGGAUAGGGGCUACCUACAGCGAAUACUAUAUGGUAUCCUCACCCAGAUGGUAUCGUUUACAGACUAAGUGGUUGUGGGUAGAGCAAACGUUCUAUUUAAGAUAUAGUCGGUCCUUACGCUAAUGCUUAAGGUCAUAUACGUUCCGUAGGUGAACCUGCGGAAGGAUCAUUACAGAGAACAUGCCCUCCGGGGUAGAUCUCCCACCCUUAUGUUUAUCUUACCUUUGUUGCUUUGGCGGGCCCGUCUUGCGACCACCGGCUCAAGCUGGUCAGCGCCUGCCAGAGGAUACCAAACUCUUAAUUUAUAUCGUCUGAGUACUAUACAAUAGUUAAAACUUUCAACAACGGAUCUCUUGGUUCUGGCAUCGAUGAAGAACGCAGCGAAAUGCGAUAAGUAAUGUGAAUUGCAGAAUUCAGUGAAUCAUCGAAUCUUUGAACGCACAUUGCACCCUCUGGUAUUCCGGGGGGUAUGCCUGUUCGAGCGUCAUUACAAUCCUCAAGCUCUGCUUGGUAUUGGAUGUGAUAUUAAUCCAUCUUAAACUAGUGCGGGCCUCUCGGCUUUCCAGCGUAGUAAUUUUAUCGCUGUGGAUACCUGAGCAAGCCUUGCCAGUAACUCUCAUUUUUUUAAGGUUGACCUCGGAUCAGGUAGGGAUACCCGCUGAACUUAAGCAUAUCAAUAAGCGGAGGAAAAGAAACCAACAGGGAUCGCCUCAGUAACGGCGAGUGAAGCGGCAACAGCUCAAAUUUGAAAUCUGGCCUUCUGGUCCGAGUUGUAAUUUGUAGAGGAUGCUUCGAACGUGGUCCGGUCUAAGUUCCUUGGAACAGGACGUCAUAGAGGGUGAGAAUCCCGUAUGUGACUGGGUGCCUAAGUUCAUGUGAAGCUCCUUCGACGAGUCGAGUUGUUUGGGAAUGCAGCUCAAAAUGGGUGGUAAAUUUCAUCUAAAGCUAAAUAUUGGCCAGAGACCGAUAGCGCACAAGUAGAGUGAUCGAAAGAUGAAAAGCACUUUGGAAAGAGAGUUAAACAGUACGUGAAAUUGUUGAAAGGGGAGCGCUUGCAACCAGACUUGCAUGCAGUUGAUCAUCCGAUGUUCUCACCGGUGCACUCGGUUGCGUUCAGGCCAGCAUCGGUUUCGGUGGUUGGAUAAAGGCUUAGGGAAUGUAGCUUCUUUCGGGGAGUGUUAUAGUCCUUUGCGCAAUGCAGCCUACCGGGACCGAGGACCGCGCUUCGGCUAGGAUGCUGGCGUAAUGGUUGUAAGCGACC
rnacentral:rRNA from 1 species